rnacentral:rRNA from 1 species
GACGAACGCUGGCGGCGUGCUUAACACAUGCAAGUCGAACGGAAAGGCCCUGCUUUUGUGGGGUGCUCGAGUGGCGAACGGGUGAGUAACACGUGAGUAACCUGCCCUUGACUUUGGGAUAACUUCAGGAAACUGGGGCUAAUACCGGAUAGGAGCUCCUGCUGCAUGGUGGGGGUUGGAAAGUUUCGGCGGUUGGGGAUGGACUCGCGGCUUAUCAGCUUGUUGGUGGGGUAGUGGCUUACCAAGGCUUUGACGGGUAGCCGGCCUGAGAGGGUGACCGGCCACAAUGGGACUGAGAGACGGCGCAGACUGCUACGGGAGGCAGCAGUGGGGAGUAUUGCACAGUGGGCGGAAGCCUGAGGCAGCAACGCCGCGUGCGGGAUGACGGCCUUCGGGUUGUAAACCGCUUUAGCCUGUGACGAAGCGUGAGUGACGGUAAUGGGUGAAGAAGCACCGGCUAACUACGUG